CCUACGGGAGGCAGCAGUGAGGAAUAUUGGUCAAUGGGCGCGAGCCUGAACCAGCCAAGUAGCGUGAAGGAUGACUGCCCUACGGGUGGUAAACGUCGUUUAGAAAGGAAUAAAGUGAGGCACGUGUGCCUUUUUGUAUGUACUUUAUGAAUAAGGAUCGGCUAACUCCGUGCCAGCAGCCGCGGUAAUACGGAGGAUCCGAGCGUUAGCCGGAUUUAUUGGUUUUAAAGGGAGCGUAGAUGGGUUGUUAAGUCAGUUGUGAACGUUUGCGGCUCAACCGUAAAAUUGCAAUUGCUACUGGCAGCCUUGCGUACCGUUGAGGUAGGCGGCCUUCUUGGUGUAGCGGU
rnacentral:rRNA from 1 species